rnacentral:rRNA from 1 species
UGCAAGUCGAGCGCGCGCUUUCGGGCGUGAGCGGCAGACGGGUGAGCAACGCGUGGGAACCUACCCUUUUCUGCGGAAUAACCCGGGGAAACCCGGGCUAACGCCGCAUGCGCCCGUUCCUUUGGGGGCGGGGAAAGAUUUAUCGGGGAAGGAUGGGCCCGCGUCCGAUUAGCUUGUUGGUGGGGUAACGGCUCACCAAGGCGACGAUCGGUAGCUGGUCUGAGAGGAUGAUCAGCCACACUGGGACUGAGACACGGCCCAGACUCCUACGGGAGGCAGCAGUGGGGAAUAUUGGACAAUGGGCGCAAGCCUGAUCCAGCCAUGCCGCGUGAGUGAUGACGGCCCUAGGGUUGUAAAGCUCUUUCGCCGGGGACGAUAAUGACGGUACCCG